rnacentral:rRNA from 1 species
CUACGGGAUGCUCCAGUGAGGAAUAUUGGUCAAUGGGCGCGAGCCUGAACCAGCCAUCCCGCGUGCAGGAUGACGGCCCUAUGGGUUGUAAACUGCUUUUCUAUGCCAAGAAACCUGAUUACGUGUAAUCAGUUGCCGGUAGCAUAGGAAUAAGCAUCGGCUAACUCCGUGCCAGCAGCCGCGGUAAUACGGAGGAUGCAAGCGUUAUCCAGAUUCAUUGGGUUUAAAGGGUGCGCAGGUGGGCUUGUAAGUCAGUGGUGAAAUGCUGCCGCUUAACGGUAGAACUGCCAUUGAUACUUGCGAGUCUUGAGUAUGGUUGAGGUAGGCGGAAUGUGUUGUGUAGCGGUGAAAUGCAUAGAUAUGACACAGAACGCCAAUUGCGAAGGCAGCUUACUAAGCCAUUACUGACGCUGAGGCACGAAAGCGUGGGGAGCGAACAGGAUUAGAUACCCUUGUAGUC